rnacentral:tRNA from 1 species
GCGACUGUAGCUCAGUGGUAAGAGCGCCUAGCUAAGGACUAGGAGGCCGUUGGUUCGAAUCCUGCCAGUCGUG